rnacentral:rRNA from 1 species
UUAAGCGACUAAGCGUACACGGUGGAUGCCCUGGCAGUCAGAGGCGAUGAAGGACGUGCUAAUCUGCGAUAAGCGUCGGUAAGGUGAUAUGAACCGUUAUAACCGGCGAUUUCCGAAUGGGGAAACCCAGUGUGAUUCGUCACACUAUCAUUAACUGAAUCCAUAGGUUAAUGAGGCGAACCGGGGGAACUGAAACAUCUAAGUACCCCGAGGAAAAGAAAUCAACCGAGAUUCCCCCAGUAGCGGCGAGCGAACGGGGAGCAGCCCAGAGCCUGAAUCAGUGUGUGUGUUAGUGGAAGCGUCUGGAAAGGCGCGCGAUACAGGGUGACAGCCCCGUACACAAAAAUGCACAUGCUGUGAGCUCGAUGAGUAGGGCGGGACACGUGGUAUCCUGUCUGAAUAUGGGGGGACCAUCCUCCAAGGCUAAAUACUCCUGACUGACCGAUAGUGAACCAGUACCGUGAGGGAAAGGCGAAAAGAACCCCGGCGAGGGGAGUGAAAAAGAACCUGAAACCGUGUACGUACAAGCAGUGGGAGCACAGAGCAAUCUGUGUGACUGCGUACCUUUUGUAUAAUGGGUCAGCGACUUAUAUUCUGUAGCAAGGUUAACCGAAUAGGGGAGCCGAAGGGAAACCGAGUCUUAACUGGGCGUUAAGUUGCAGGGUAUAGACCCGAAACCCGGUGAUCUAGCCAUGGGCAGGUUGAAGGUUGGGUAACACUAACUGGAGGACCGAACCGACUAAUGUUGAAAAAUUAGCGGAUGACUUGUGGCUGGGGGUGAAAGGCCAAUCAAACCGGGAGAUAGCUGGUUCUCCCCGAAAGCUAUUUAGGUAGCGCCUCGUGAAUUCAUCUCCGGGGGUAGAGCACUGUUUCGGCAAGGGGGUCAUCCCGACUUACCAACCCGAUGCAAACUGCGAAUACCGGAGAAUGUUAUCACGGGAGACACACGGCGGGUGCUAACGUCCGUCGUGAAGAGGGAAACAACCCAGACCGCCAGCUAAGGUCCCAAAGUCAUGGUUAAGUGGGAAACGAUGUGGGAAGGCCCAGACAGCCAGGAUGUUGGCUUAGAAGCAGCCAUCAUUUAAAGAAAGCGUAAUAGCUCACUGGUCGAGUCGGCCUGCGCGGAAGAUGUAACGGGGCUAAACCAUGCACCGAAGCUGCGGCAGCGACGCUUAUGCGUUGUUGGGUAGGGGAGCGUUCUGUAAGCCUGCGAAGGUGUGCUGUGAGGCAUGCUGGAGGUAUCAGAAGUGCGAAUGCUGACAUAAGUAACGAUAAAGCGGGUGAAAAGCCCGCUCGCCGGAAGACCAAGGGUUCCUGUCCAACGUUAAUCGGGGCAGGGUGAGUCGACCCCUAAGGCGAGGCCGAAAGGCGUAGUCGAUGGGAAACAGGUUAAUAUUCCUGUACUUGGUGUUACUGCGAAGGGGGGACGGAGAAGGCUAUGUUGGCCGGGCGACGGUUGUCCCGGUUUAAGCGUGUAGGCUGGUUUUCCAGGCAAAUCCGGAAAAUCAAGGCUGAGGCGUGAUGACGAGGCACUACGGUGCUGAAGCAACAAAUGCCCUGCUUCCAGGAAAAGCCUCUAAGCAUCAGGUAACAUCAAAUCGUACCCCAAACCGACACAGGUGGUCAGGUAGAGAAUACCAAGGCGCUUGAGAGAACUCGGGUGAAGGAACUAGGCAAAAUGGUGCCGUAACUUCGGGAGAAGGCACGCUGAUAUGUAGGUGAAGUCCCUCGCGGAUGGAGCUGAAAUCAGUCGAAGAUACCAGCUGGCUGCAACUGUUUAUUAAAAACACAGCACUGUGCAAACACGAAAGUGGACGUAUACGGUGUGACGCCUGCCCGGUGCCGGAAGGUUAAUUGAUGGGGUCAGCGCAAGCGAAGCUCUUGAUCGAAGCCCCGGUAAACGGCGGCCGUAACUAUAACGGUCCUAAGGUAGCGAAAUUCCUUGUCGGGUAAGUUCCGACCUGCACGAAUGGCGUAAUGAUGGCCAGGCUGUCUCCACCCGAGACUCAGUGAAAUUGAACUCGCUGUGAAGAUGCAGUGUACCCGCGGCAAGACGGAAAGACCCCGUGAACCUUUACUAUAGCUUGACACUGAACAUUGAGCCUUGAUGUGUAGGAUAGGUGGGAGGCUUUGAAGUGUGGACGCCAGUCUGCAUGGAGCCGGCCUUGAAAUACCACCCUUUAAUGUUUGAUGUUCUAACGUUGACCCGUAAUCCGGGUUGCGGACAGUGUCUGGUGGGUAGUUUGACUGGGGCGGUCUCCUCCUAAAGAGUAACGGAGGAGCACGAAGGUUGGCUAAUCCUGGUCGGACAUCAGGAGGUUAGUGCAAUGGCAUAAGCCAGCUUGACUGCGAGCGUGACGGCGCGAGCAGGUGCGAAAGCAGGUCAUAGUGAUCCGGUGGUUCUGAAUGGAAGGGCCAUCGCUCAACGGAUAAAAGGUACUCCGGGGAUAACAGGCUGAUACCGCCCAAGAGUUCAUAUCGACGGCGGUGUUUGGCACCUCGAUGUCGGCUCAUCACAUCCUGGGGCUGAAGUAGGUCCCAAGGGUAUGGCUGUUCGCCAUUUAAAGUGGUACGCGAGCUGGGUUUAGAACGUCGUGAGACAGUUCGGUCCCUAUCUGCCGUGGGCGCUGGAGAACUGAGGGGGGCUGCUCCUAGUACGAGAGGACCGGAGUGGACGCAUCACUGGUGUUCGGGUUGUCAUGCCAAUGGCACUGCCCGGUAGCUAAAUGCGGAAGAGAUAAGUGCUGAAAGCAUCUAAGCACGAAACUUGCCCCGAGAUGAGUUCUCCCUGACUCCUUGAGAGUCCUGAAGGAACGUUGAAGACGACGACGUUGAUAGGCCGGGUGUGUAAGCGCAGCGAUGCGUUGAGCUAACCGGUACUAAUGAACCGUGAGGCUUAACCUU